UGCCAGCAGCCGCGGUAAUACGGAGGGAGCUAGCGUUGUUCGGAAUUACUGGGCGUAAAGAGCACGUAGGUGGCGAAGAUAGUCAGUGGUGAAAGGCCUGGGCUCAACCCGGGAACUGCCAUUGAUACUGCUUUGCUAGAGUCCGGGAGAGGAUAGCGGAAUUUCCAGUGUAGAGGUGAAAUUCGUAGAUAUUGGAAAGAACACCAGUUGCGAAGGCGGCUAUCUGGACCGGUACUGACACUGAGGUGCGAAAGCGUGGGGAGCGAACAGGAUUAGAUA
rnacentral:rRNA from 1 species